rnacentral:rRNA from 1 species
AUUGAACGCUGGCGGCAUGCCUUACACAUGCAAGUCGAACGGCAGCAUGAUCUAGCUUGCUCGAUCGAUGGCGAGUGACGCACGGGUGAGUAAUACAUCAGCACGUGCUCUGUUGUGGGGGAUAACUAGUCGCAAGAUUAGCUAAUACCGCAUACCACCUGAUGGUGACAGUGGGGGACCGCAAGGCCUCAUGCUAUAGGAGCGGCCGGUGUCUUAUUAGCUAGUUUGUGAGGUAAAGUCUCACCAAGGCGACGAUCAGUAGCUGGUCUGAGAGGAGGAUCAGCCACACGAGGACGGAGCCACGGCCCAGACUCCUACGGGAGGGAGCAGUGUGGAAUUGUGGACAAUGGGCGAAAGCCUGAUCCAGCAAGGCCGCGUGUGUGAAGAAGGCCUUCGGGUUGGAAAGCACGUUUGUCCGGAAAGAAAUGGUUCUGGUUAAUACCUGGGGUCGAUGACGGUACCGGAAGAAUAAGGACCGGCUAACUACGUG